UUAAACUUGUGUCUAUACAGAUAAGGUC
rnacentral:sRNA from 1 species